AUACGUAGGGGGCGAGCGUUGUCCGGAAUGAUUGGGCGUAAAGGGCGCGUAGGCGGCCCGGUAAGUCUGGAGUGAAAGUCCUGUUUUUAAGAUGGGAAUUGCUUUGGAUACUGUCGGGCUUGAGUGCAGGAGAGGUAAGUGGAAUUCCCAGUGUAGCGGUGAAAUGAGUAGAGAUUGGGAGGAACACCAGUGGCGAAGGCGACUUACUGGACUGUAACUGACGCUGAGGCGCGAAAGUGUGGGGAGCAAACAGGAUUAGAUACCCUGGUAGUCCACACUGUAAACGAUGAAUACUAGGUGUAGGGGGUAUCGACCCCUCCUGUGCCGGAGUUAACACAAUAAGUAUCCCACCUGGGGAGUACGGCCGCAAGGUUGAAACUCAAAUGAAUUGACGGGG
rnacentral:rRNA from 1 species